rnacentral:tRNA from 1 species
AGCAAGAUGCCUGAUUAAAGGAUUACUUUGAUGAAGUAAAUAAAGUGUAAAUCACUCAUGCUA